rnacentral:rRNA from 1 species
GUGUCAGCAGCCGCGGUAAUACGUAGGGUGCAAGCGUUGUCCGGAAUUAUUGGGCGUAAAGAGCUCGUAGGCGGUCUGUCGCGUCGGAUGUGAAAACCCAGGGCUCAACCCUGGGCCUGCAUUCGAUACGGGCAGACUAGAAUUCGGUAGGGGAGUCUGGAAUUCCUGGUGUAGCGGUGAAAUGCGCAGAUAUCAGGAGGAACACCGGUGGCGAAGGCGGGACUCUGGGCCGAUAUUGACGCUGAGGAGCGAAAGCGUGGGGAGCGAACAGGAUUAGAUACCCCUGUAGUCC